AUCCCACUCGCCUCCCCCUCCUCGUCGCCCUCCUCUCUCUCUCUCGCUAACCCCUCUCUCUCCCCAUCGCGCCGGCCGGUUACGGCCAGCUCCGGCCCGCGCGUCUCCCCCGCGACCCCCGCCUCCUCUCCUGCCGUCGCCGCCGCCGGAGAAGCUCGCCUCCGCGCCCACAAGCCUCGGAUUCGGCGGGAUCCGGGACGAGGAGGGGUGGAUGAGACGUGUGAGGAGGAGGAGGAGGAGAGUGUGGGGGCGUCUGGGGAGGAAUAUCCCCGCCGCCUCCUCCGCUCGUGACGCAGGGCCUCGGGCCAUGGGGGCGUUCGUUGCAGGAGCCUCGCCGCUGACCUCCCGUGCGCGGCGCCCGGCCCUGGCAGCGCCAAUCUCCCCUUCACACACAGGCAAGGUCGAACCCCAACACCGAGAAGGUAUCUUGGCACCAAAUCAUCGCGAGAAGAAGGGUAAUAAUAUGAUACCUGUAUGUGGUUGCCCAAAUUCAGAAGUGAACUUUGCUGUAUAUUAGUCAGCAUCUCCUGCAUGACCUUUUAAACUUCAAUGCAGCUGUACAAGGUUUGUGAUGAUUUUUUUCCCAGUUUCGUCUUGAUUUAGACUUUUGUAGUUACACGUGUUAUGUUUGUUCACCAUGCUAAUCAUGAGGGUUUUACAAGAGGAUUUAGACUCACACGAGCUUUCAUUGUAACAGAGCUGCUGAACUUAAACAGAUGUUCUCCCGCAUAUCCAUGCCCGAACUGAAACCUAUAUAAUUUACGCCAUUUAACCAUAGCAAUGUUUCAUCCAUUGAGAGAAUUAAAAAAUUGACAUAAAUUUGCUCACUGCAGAGCCUCCGAACAGGAAACCGGCGGGGAGCAUGCCACCGUAGGGGAAGGGCAGGGGAGACAUGGUGGCGGCUAGCUGGGCCAAGCUGCGAACGCCCAUCGGCGACUUUCGUUGGGGUCCAUACCAUUCUUCCUCCCCUCACUCCGAUGCCAAAACCAGUAGGUGCAGCAAGAAGGUCAAGCAUCGACAGAGGUGCACAUCCGCACAUGGGUGGCGUGAACAGAUGGCUACCCCAAGAUAAUCUGAACUAGCUUGCAGCAUCCGAUGAGAAACCAAGCCAGUUUCUCAGCAUGGCAGAUAACUCUCUAGACAUGAUCAUGUCUCUAGCAAUCGGGUCGUAGUCAGAGCACAACUAAGGUUGGCGCUGCUCAAGUGUUUGCAGCGGGAUCCUCUUCUACAACGGUGAUGACAAGGGCUCCGCUCCCAGUUCAGUCUAUCAACUACACACACAACUCCUGGACCUGCCUUCAGAUUUAAGGCAAGCGCUUCAGUACUUCCUUGUGUUGCAUAGUCACUAGACUGGGUUUUCUUUGAUUCUAUGAUUGGUUUGUUUUCAUCGCAAUGUAUGUGUCCACACAAUCAAAAGGAUCAAGAUAGCUUCACAUAGAUUAGUUAAUUGGCCAGGUACAUACGAAGCUGUGAAUCUAAACAGGACGCACAUACAUCACAACACCAAUAUGUUGUGUGUAACACGACCAUUCCUAACAUACCAUGGUUUGCAUGGUGGAUAACCGAUGUGUGUUAAGAUGAGCAGCAGCACGCUCACACAUUAUCUUUGCCAUUUAAAUAACCAUAUUUGUUCUAUGAAGUUUCUGUUAUAUAUCUCUAUGUCCAUGUACUUCUCAAAAGUUACCUUGGAUGAGAAGCAUUGUUUUGCUGGUCUUUGUGAAGACAAGAUAGGAAGAUCCAUGUUCUUGAUCAAUCAAAUAUGGUCAAAACUGUAGUUUUUUCACCGGUGUAAUCUUAUUAAUAACUUUGACCAAAAGUCCUACAAUCUCAUUAGUAAUCAGGUGUGGACAAAUAUGUUUUCAGUCCAGUUUGAUCUAAUAUAUCCUAUUGAAGCGUACUUUGACCAAACGUCCUACAAUCUCAUUAGUAAUUAAUCAGGUGUGGACAAAUAUGUUUUCAAUCCAGUUUGAUAUGAUAUUUUCAAUUGAAGCAACAAAACCAUCGUAUUUGG